UUAAGGAAGAGUUUCAUACCAUAACUUUAGUUAAAUAGUGAAUUGUGGGAACGUUUUAGGUCAGAAAACGAUUCAGUUUAAACCUACAUUUUCAUUAAGAAAUCGCAUGCACGUACAUUAGCAGUGAAUUAUGAUUCUCUUAGUGAAUACAAUUAUUUGUUCUUUAUCUGUAAGUCCAAUCUUUGCAGAUAUAAAUGAAAGUGACGGUGAAAAAUGGAACGAAUGGUUGCCAUGGGAAGGAUGUUCAUCACCAUGUAGUACAAGUGACGUAGGAGUUCAAAGUCGAAGAAGAACAUGCUCAACUUCAAUAGAUGGCGAUGCUUGUAGAGGCGAAUCUGUUGAUUACAAGACUUGCAAAAUAAAGUCUAAUUAUGGACUUGGAAACUGGGGUGCAUGGUUGUCAUGGGAAAGGUGUUCAGUUUCCUGUGAUAUAGGACAUGCUUAAAUCAACUUUCUGAUGACAAAGAUGUCCUUUGUACAGGGGAAUCAAUAGAUUUCAAAAUUUGCACGGGAAAAGCAUGUGCAGAUGGCGGAUGGACUAGCUGGGGAGAUUGGAAUGCGUGUAGUGCGACAUGUGGUUGGGGUGUUAGUAAACGUGAAAGAAGAUGUUCGAACCCAAGACCUUCAGUACUUGGGCAAUUUUGUGAUGGCAGUCCUGAACAAACGAGAUCGUGUCAGAACAGUCCAUGUCCUCAUGCUGGAAAUGACACUUCCAACUGUCAAAAGAAUUUGUGCUCAGCAUACAGUGUUGCCUUCACAGCUACUUACCCUGAUGGAGUAUCUGGAGAUGCCUUGACAUUUUAUAGGGUCCCCGUUAAUUAUGGAAAUAAUUUCAGCGGUGCUACCGGAUUAUUCACGUGUAGGAUUCCUGGCUUGUAUGCAUUUUCCGUCACACUC